AUUGAACGCUGGCGGCAGGCUUAACACAUGCAAGUCGAGCGGGGUGAUGGUGCUUGCACUAUCACUUAGCGGCGGACGGGUGAGUAAUGCUUAGGAAUCUGCCUAUUAGUGGGGGACAACAUCUCGAAAGGGAUGCUAAUACCGCAUACGUCCUACGGGAGAAAGCAGGGGAUCACUUGUGACCUUGCGCUAAUAGAUGAGCCUAAGUCGGAUUAGCUAGUUGGUGGGGUAAAGGCCUACCAAGGCGACGAUCUGUAGCGGGUCUGAGAGGAUGAUCCGCCACACUGGGACGGAGACACGGCCCAGACUCCUACGGGAGGCAGCAGUGGGGAAUAUUGGACAAUGGGGGGAACCCUGAUCCAGCCAUGCCGCGUGUGUGAAGAAGGCCUUAUGGUUGUAAAGCACUUUGAGCGAGGAGGAGGCUACUCUAGUUAAUACCUAGGGAUAGUGGACGUUACUCGCAGAAUAAGCACCGGCUAACUCUGUGCCAGCCGCCGCCGUAA
rnacentral:rRNA from 1 species